AAUUAAAAUAAAUAAAUAAACUGAGAAAUUUUCCAUCAAGGUGGUGUCGAUUGACACGUUAUAUGCGAGUUAGUGGCUAACUUUAAUCGUUGAGGGUUCAUUGAGAAAGUAGGAGCGGUUAUUGGGAACAGAAGCACGAUUCACAGUUCGAGUUAAUUGACUAUAGAGUGUCUAGUGUUGGUGAGUAGCGUGACCGGUGUUGUGUACAUGUGGCUGGAGCAAAAUGGAGUAUUCCAACCCAUCUCUCUUGUUACUCAGUAGCUAGGGAUAGUUAGUUGUGCAACUAAGUAACAAGCUGGGAUGAUGUUUGGUGAUAUGAAUCAAGCGGAGCAUGUUCAAAAAGAGAAGUCAGGUUGUUUGUCAGAUUGGAUGACGAGUAUGUUUGAUGAAGAUGGAUCAGAAUUUAUGUAAGGUACGUGAUGAGGUUAAGUACAUUCAUAUUCUUGUCGUGUUAGUACGUAAAAUGGCUAGAUUGGGUUGUUAGAGCGAAUCUAGCUGUUUAUGGCAGCUUUUGUAAGAAGUUGAGCAGAGGUCAAUAAUUUUAUCGGUAAUUAUGGGGUGCCCGUGUGAUUGUGUUCUGGUAUGUUCGGAGCGAAGACAGAAAAAUCCGCGUCGGGGUGUCACAACACAGAAGAUCACUCAACCCUUUACUCAUACUUGUAUUCUGAAGUCUCUUAUAUAAGACCAUAUAGCUACUAUUUUCACGACACUGAAUAUUUGUAACAAGCUUUUGGUACUUAUAAGUUACAACUUAGUAACAGAAUGCGAUUGAAUAAAAGAUGUAGCUAAAGUGUUACAACACGUAGAAAAUUAGCGACAAAUUACGAGAACUGUUUUUUGGUAACAAAUUUGU
rnacentral:sRNA from 1 species